UAUGAUACCAUUGUAAGGCUACUGCCAAAUGCGAAUAUUAUGUAAGGGUACGGCAGUUCUCCGUUCUGCGCGACACCGUCAUGUGAAUAGGAACUCCGGGCUGCCAAUAAAUUAGUUAUCCCAACAUUCCUGCUCCCGAGCUACGGAUAAAUAUAUUCAAAGGAUACACAACUCCUCCCUGAAUAUCUUAUAUUUAACUGGUCUUCCCCGACCACGUUACAGUAC